UGUUUUUGUGUGUGUGUGUG
rnacentral:miRNA from 1 species